UACGUAGGUGACAAGCGUUGUCCGGAUUUACUGGGCGUAAAGAGCGCGCAGGCGGUCGAUUAAGUCGAGUGUGAAAGCCCCCGGCUCAACUGGGGAGGGUCAUUCGAUACUGAUCGACUCGAAGGCAGGAGAGGGUAGUGGAAUUCCCGGUGUAGUGGUGAAAUGCGUAGAUAUCGGGAGGAACACCAGUGGCGAAGGCGACUACCUGGCCUGUUCUUGACGCUGAGGCGCGAAAGCUAGGGGAGCAAACGGG
rnacentral:rRNA from 1 species